rnacentral:rRNA from 1 species
GAGGAAUAUUGGUCAAUGGACGUAAGUCUGAACCAGCCAAGUAGCGUGCAGGAUGACGGCCCUAUGGGUUGUAAACUGCUUUUGUAUGGGGAUAAAGUCAAUCACGUGUGAUUGUUUGCAGGUACCAUACGAAUAAGGACCGGCUAAUUCCGUGCCAGCAGCCGCGGUAAUACGGAAGGUCCAGGCGUUAUCCGGAUUUAUUGGGUUUAAAGGGAGCGUAGGCCGGAGAUUAAGUGUGUUGUGAAAUGUAGACGCUCAACGUCUGACUUGCAGCGCAUACUGGUUUCCUUGAGUACGCACAACGUUGGCGGAAUUCGUCGUGUAGCGGUGAAAUGCUUAGAUAUGACGAAGAACUCCGAUUGCGAAGGCAGCUGACGGGAGCGCAACUGACGCUUAAGCUCGAAGGUGCGGGUAUCAAACAGGAUUAGAUACCCUGGUAGUCCGCACAGUAAACGAUGGAUGCCCGCUGUUGGUACCUGGUAUCAGCGGCUAAGCGAAAGCAUUAAGCAUCCCACCUGGGGAGUACGCCGGCAACGGUG